CCAAGCUCGGUCCGUGCCCCCCGGGGGUCACAGGCUGCUGGGGGAGAAACGGACACCAGGUUGGGCCCCAUGGCUGGAGUCGGUGUCCUGCAUCGUUCAGCGGAGAGCUAGCCCCGCUCUGUAGUCCUGGGAACGGCAGGACAGAAGAGAGAAGACUAACGAGAACCGCAACCCUCGGGCUCAGCGCGCGGAAAGCCAGACGCUUCCCCGCACCAGCGUCCACCGCCGGCCACCUGCAGGGAACGGGCAAGUGGAAGGCACAGGUCUCCGCGGCGCUUACGGAGGAAAAGGAGGGUUCAAUGCAGAGACCACCAAUCAGAACUCGAACCCUCUGGUCCAGCUGCCCAAUGGGAAGGAGGAUCUUCGGUAGCCCGGACGACCACGCGGUACCAGGGGGUCUCGCGCAGGCGCGUGAGGUUGGGCUCCAAACUCACCGUGCUCCACGUAAGUGAUAAAUGCCAGGGACAGCAGCACCGCAGCCAGAUGGAAGCUGAAGCCCUGGUGGGGCCCCAGGGGGCAAUGAGGUAGAUCAGGAUGGUGACGGAGAGGAAGACGCCUCGAUGGGAGGAAUGUCGGCAGAGG